GCCUGGGUGGCUCAGUCGGUUAAGUGUCUGACUUCGGCUCAGGUCAUGAUCUCAUGGUCCGUGAGUUCGAGCCCCACGUCGGGCU
rnacentral:tRNA from 1 species